GGCCCACCGACUGGACCCGCAGCAGAUCGGAUGCGAUCCGUUUGCUGCCGCGUCGUCCCGUCUCUGAGCAGCGGGGAGGACGAUGGAGCUGAGGAGGAUCCGGAGCGAAACAAGCGAGGAAGACGCUGCAGCACCUGGAGGAAUGGAUGCAAGUGAGCAUCAGUUACAAACGUGGAAGUGAUGAGAGAAAGCAAUAAGUAACACUGAACGUCUGGAGCCCCGUACAGUAACAGUAGCUGUUGUUUCCCAUGGCAACUGGACGAUCACGCUCCUGUUGCUUAGCAAGAGAAAAUCAACGUCUUCAAUCAGAAUGUCACCAACUAAAACCGGCUGAACGUUAGCGUGCCUGCGUUUACACAAGCCUGCACGUCACACAGGACAAGCCGAACUCACAGAACAACAAUCACAGGAGGAAUAAAGUCAAAAGUGUGACAUCCAUCACAGGACAACUGGUUCACGUCGUCCUGCACUCAGACAGAGUCUGUGUUACUAACAUGUCAUGAAUGAUUGCCGUCAUCAAGCAUCACAGCGUGUGGUUCUGGUCAGAUCUGUCUCACAUCUGGUGGCAGAUGUGCAUGUCCUGCUCAGUGACCUUUGACCUCUGGCAGCUGGCCUGGCCCGUUUAGGCGGUACCGAUGCUGGAAGUGGCACAGAACGACACACACAUCAGCAUCCUGCUGCCCCAGAUACUUACUGGGGCACCAAGUGUCCUGUUUGUGCAGCUUCUAGCAGCAGUUGGGUCACGAGACGGUGAGACAGAAUAGAUAAAAUUAGCAACUAGGUUAGUGGCACUAAUGCUAGUGAUACACACAGUGAUGUUUUCAUAUAUAAUAAUGUACAAAUGCUGUGUCUGACUUACUACUUAUAACAGCUGUCAUGGGAUUGUGGGGUCUAAGAAUGAAAGGACCACACUACAACACAACAGACAAAUACACAGCACAUAAAGAAUCUGAUUAAAAGCUAGUUUGUUCUGUGAGAAAAGUCAUUCGUUUCUGCAGAGAACCACUGGGUCUCUGUAUAAACAGCAGCCGGACGAAGCUCCCAGUUAAUAAUGUGUCUGUUCCAGUGCUGUGAUCACUGGGCUCUGGCCUCUGUCACCGAGCAGGAAAUGACCGUCAUAUUCAUGAAACAUGUUUAUACAAUAUGAAACAUAUCAUAUUUCACUUUCCAUUGGCACCUCGUAGCUGAAGCUCCCUCACACCGGCCGACGCGUAGGAUCCACAACAAGGAUGUUGUACUGUGCAUUUAUUAAGUUCAUCUGUGGUUCAUAUAUUCUUUUUUAUUUAGUUUUAAUUUAUUGCUGCAGCCGAGGACACUGCUGAAAUGUGUGAAUGUCCCACUGGGAGCAAUAAAGUAUCUGUCUCUAUGUGGAGGAAGCUUCUGAGUGAAUGUUGUGGAUCAUGACCAUUGUCAUGACUCCAGCCAAUUGUAGCGCGCUGUUCUUCAUCUGCUUCCUCUUCAGCUCAUAUGGAGAAAUAAAACUAAACUGGCAAAUGAUGCGUUCGCCAGCGGAACCGCUAAAGGAGCAGGCUCAGUUCUAUUAACAGCAGUGAGAGUCAGCCCACACGAAGC